UACGAAGGGGGCUAGCGUUGCUCGGAAUCACUGGGCGUAAAGCGCACGUAGGCGGAUUGCUAAGUCAGGGGUGAAAUCCUGGAGCUCAACUCCAGAACUGCCUUUGAUACUGGCGAUCUUGAGUCCGGGAGAGGUGAGUGGAACUGCGAGUGUAGAGGUGAAAUUCGUAGAUAUUCGCAAGAACACCAGUGGCGAAGGCGGCUCACUGGCCCGGUACUGACGCUGAGGUGCGAAAGCGUGGGGAGCAAACAGGG
rnacentral:rRNA from 1 species